rnacentral:rRNA from 1 species
UACAGGGGGGGCAAGCGUUGUUCGGAAUUACUGGGCGUAAAGGGCUCGUAGGUGGCCAACUAAGUCAGACGUGAAAUCCCUCAGCUUAACUGGGGAACUGCGUCUGAUACUGGAUGGCUUGAGUUUGGGAGAGGGAUGCGGAAUUCCAGGUGUAGCGGUGAAAUGCGCAGAUAUCAGGAGGAACACCGAUGGCGAAGGCAGCUCGCUGGGACGGUACUGACGCUGAGACGCGAAAGCGUGGGGAGCAAACAGG